rnacentral:sRNA from 1 species
UAUAUCAGAUAUAUCGCUAAGUAACAUCAUUUCUAGUUUUCUCAACUCCAUCAAAACUACAAAUUAGAACCAGCUUAAAAGCAUUUGGUGUGCCAAAAAUAUUUCUGUGUGUUUGCAGUACUUGGUUGAAUUGCGUUUUUGCUCUGUUAAGAUGGCAUUGAAAGUAUUAGUAGGCCAGAAUUUUGAUUUGCGUGAAGUAAAAAUAUAUGAAGGGCCCCUCCCAGCACCCGCGAGACAUAUCCUGUUGGUUUCGUUUAUUGUGAAUAUUGAUAUAACAAGGCGAACAUUGCGCCGCUAAUAUUAAACGACACGAUAAAAAGUGCGUGCGAGAGAGACAGAAAACAGUCUGAGCGCGUCGUCGAGCGCUGCGUAGCCACUGCAAAUUAAUUUGUUCCUUUUGGCUCUAAAAAUGAUCCGAUCUGAUCCACGUUCGGCAAUC